rnacentral:rRNA from 1 species
AAAACUUACCAGGUCAAGACAUGGGCGUGAUUGACAGGCUAAUGACUUUUCUCGAUUCCAUGGAUGGUGGUGCAUGGUCGCACUUAGUUGGUGCAGUGAUUUGUCAGGUUUAUUCCGGUAACGAACGAGACCUCGGCCUUGUAAAUAGCUAUGCUGCUUACAGGGACAUUGGCGGCUACGCCAAGGAAGCUCGAGGCAAUUGCAGAUCUGGGAUGCCCUUAGAUGUCCUGGGUCGCACGCGUGCUACAAUGACGCCACGAACGAGCUUGCGUGAUGAAAGUUACGCAUAAUCAGCAGUCGGCGUCUUAAGGGAUAGUCUCUUGUAACUGUGGGACUCCAACUAGGAAUGUCUCGUAAGCACAAGUCAACAUCUUGUGUUGAUUACGUCCCUGCUCUUUGUACACACCGCCCGUCGCUCCUACCGAUCGAGUGUUUAGGUGAAUUUGAUGGACGUAAGGAAGUCAAAUAAACCUGAGCACUAGAGAAGAGAGUCGACAUGC